rnacentral:lncRNA from 1 species
GGUGGGAGAUCAAUUGCUAACAGUAGAAAGAUUGCUUGGAUUUCUCUCAAGGUUUGACAUAUGCUAAAGCCAUACUUUGUUAUANUUGUUUUAUUUUAAUGUUAUUCACUAACUAUUAUCAACUGUGGUGAUAUAUUGUAGUGUAACAGACAAAAUGGGUCAUAUGAGUGCGGAUACUAUGUAAUGUAUUGGAUGACCCAUAUUGUUCGUUCUCACAUCACAAGUCGCUGGGAAACGGUAAUAUUUAACUUUAACAAAUUNUGAUUUUUUUCCCAAAUGUUGAAUUCAUAUACACUAAUUAAUAUGAAUUGUCUUUUGCAGAAAUUCAAGACUACUACACCAGUUCCUAAGAAGCCAC